GUACAGAGGUAAUAGAAUGAAAGCACUAGGUGUUUAGAUUUAGAUAGAUACAGUCACAGUAGCCUAAGCAUAAAUAUACAAGCCAACGGUGAAGUUCUAAAAAUAAGUCUUGUCUGAUAGCCUCAAUCCAGAAUUUCAGAGUGCACCAAACACGGGUUACCACUAUUGAGAUCGAAAGAUAAGCCGGUUUAGCCUAGGGGCAGUAUAAGGUCAUAUAUAUAGGUCAGGAUAAGGUAGAUGUGAUUUGGACGAACCUAACUACCACAUGCCAAGCAUUCGUCCCGGUUGUUCAAGGAACACACCACCUCUGCCAUUUUAGACUGGACAUCCUCUUCCUCUGCAUUAUGCUGCUUAUCCUUGAGGAGAGUAGUGUCCACUGUGAAUUUGAUUGCAUCGGCAGCAGCGCGUGUUCUUAGAUAAUACAUUCCAGUUUUCAGGCCCUUGGACCAAGCGUGGAAGUGCAGGGAAGUUAGCUUCCCAAAGUUCGGUUGGUCCAUGUGGAUAUUAAGACUUUGGCUCUGAUCGAUAUAACAACCACGAUCGAUGGCCAUGUCAACAAUAGUUUUCUGCUUGAUUUCCCACACGGUUCUGUAAAUUGCUUUCAGAUCAUCUGGGAUCUCAGAGAUCUUUUGAACAGAACCAUCUUCAUAGACAAUCUUGUUUUUCAGAACAGGGGACCAAAUACCCAUCUCAGUCAAAUCAUGGAGAAGAUGCUUGUUUACUACAACAAACUCGCCACUUAAAACUCUCCGACUGUAUAUGUUUGAGGUGUAUGGUUCAAAGCAUUCGUUGUUGCCAAGAAUUUGACUAGUAGAAGCGGUAGGCAUUGGAGCAAUAAGAAGAGAGUUCCUAACUCCAACUUUGGAAAUCAUCUCCCUUAAAUCUGACCAAUUCCAUCUAUCAGAUGGAACUACAUUCCACAUAUCAGGUUGAAGAAUGCCCUUGCUGACAGGGCUCCCGCUAUAAGUUUCAUAAGGACCUUCUUUUGCAGCAAUUUCAGCAGAAGCUUUCAAGGCAUGAUAAUAAAUAGUCUCAAAAAUAUCCUUGUUCAAUUGCUGAGCCUCUGUUGAAUCAAAUGGCAUGCCAAGUAAAAUGAAGGUGUCUGCCAAGCCCUGAACACCGAUUCCGAUUGGCCUGUGCCUCAUAUUUGAUCUCUUUGCAGUCUCAACAGGGUAAUAAUUAGUAUCAAUUAUUUUAUUGAGAUUCCUUGUGACAAUUGAAGUAAUCUCAGCUAAUUUAUCAAAGUCAAAAUAUCGGUUUUUGGAUCCAUUACUACCAACAAGCUUAGCCGGAUGAGACUCCAUAGGAACACCCUUUUCCCUUACAAAACGCGGUAAACCAAUCGAUGCUAGAUUGCACACAGCAGUUUCAGUGGGACUUGUGAACUCAAUAAUCUCCGUGCACAAGUUUGAAGACUUAAUUGUCCCCAGGUUUUGUUGGUUACUUUUUCUAUUACAAGAAUCCUUAUAAAGCAUAUAUGGUGUUCCAGUUUCUAUCUGUGCCUUCAAAAUGUCAAACCAGAGCGCCUGUGCUGAAACAACUUUCUUUGCCUUGCCCUCUCUUUCAUAUUUCUUGUACAGAUUCUGAAACUCAUCUCCCCAACAGUCAGCCAAACCUGGAGCUUCAUUGGGACAAAACAAUGACCAGUUUUCAUUAUUUUGCACCCUUUCCAUGAACAGAUCUGGAAUCCAGAGCGCAUAGAAAAGAUCUCUUGCACGAUUCUCCUCCUUUCCAUGGUUCUUUCUUAAAUCAAGGAACUCAAAAAUAUCAGCAUGCCAAGGCUCCAAGUAUAUAGCAAAUGCACCUUUUCUCUUGCCUCCGCCUUGAUCAACAUAACGUGCAGUAUCAUUGAAAACACGCAGCAUGGGAACAAUCCCAUUAGAUGUUCCAUUUGUUCCUCGAAUGUAACUCCCAGUAGCUCUAAUAUUGUGAAUUGAGAGACCAAUUCCACCAGCACAUUUGCUUAUGGUAGCACAUUCUGAGAGAGUAUCAUAAAUUCCCUCAAUGCUAUCAUCGUUCAUGCAGAUGAGGAAGCAGCUACUUAAUUGAGGCCUUGGAGUGCCAGCAUUGAAAAGGGUUGGCGAAGCAUGAGUAAACCAGCGCUGAGACAUCAUGUGGUACGUUUUGAUAGCAGAUUCAAUAUCAUCCUUGUGUAUCCCAAUAGAAACUCUCAUUAGCAUAUGCUGUGGUCUUUCCACAACCUUCCCAACAACUUUUAACAGAUAAGAUCUCUCAAGGGUCUUAAAACCAAAGUAGUCAUAGUCAAAAUCUCUGUCAUAAAUUAUCUCACUGUCCAAGCGGGUGGUAUUCUUCAUGAUGAUCUCAUAGACGUCAUCGGCAAUCAGAGGAGCCAACAGCCCAGAUCGCUCAUCGUAAUGCAUGUACAUGACCUUUAUCGUCUCUGAGAAAGACUUCAUGGUGGUCUUGUGCAGGUUCGAGAUCGCGAUCCUCGCGGCGAGCGAGGCGUAGUCGGGGUGGGAGGCGGUCAUGGCGGCGGCGGUCUCCGCCGCGAGCUCGCCGAGCUGGCUGGUGGUGACGCCCUUGUAGACGCCGGCGCAGACCUUCUGCGCGACGAGGACCGGAUCGCAGUGCUCCUGGCUGAGGCCGUAGCUGAGCCUCUUGAGCCGCGCGGUGAUCUUGUCGAAGUGGACCGCCUCCUGCCGCCCAUCGCGCUUCACCACGUACAUCCUCGCCGUCGCCGCAGCCGGCCUCCGCUUCUCGCGGGCUUUCCGUCGAACACGUCGAGGGCACACACACGAACCCGAUCGGCGGCGCGGUGAUCGGUGAUUGGGGAAUUGGAGAAGAGAGAGAGGGAUUCGAACGGCCUCGAGAGGUUGGUGGUUGCGGCGAU
rnacentral:sRNA from 1 species